AUUGAACGCUGGCGGCAGGCCUAACACAUGCAAGUCGAGCGAGCGGCGGACGGGUGAGUAAUGUAUGGGGAUCUGCCCGAUAGAGGGGGAUAACUACUGGAAACGGUGGCUAAUCCGCCAUACAUUGGGAUGACCCACUAGGGGAUUAGCUAGUAGGUGGGGUAAAGGCUCACCUAGGCGACGAUCUCUAGCUGGUCUGAGAGGAUGAUCAGCCACACUGGGACUGAGACACGGCCCAGAGUCCUACGGGAGGCAGCAGUGGGGAAUAUUGCACAAUGGGCGCAAGCCUGAUGCAGCCAUGCCGCGUGUAUGAAGAAGGCCUUAGGGUUGUAAAGUACUUUCAGCGUGGAGGCGUUACCCGCAGAAGAAGCACCGGCUAACUCCGUGCCAGCAGCCGCGGUAAUAC
rnacentral:rRNA from 1 species